AGCGCGGCUUUUGCUUGAGCCCCAGGAGGCAGGGCUUGGGCUUCAGCAUGUAUCUUAGCUUCAUGGGGCCCCUGCUUGCCAUCCCCUAAUGCAGGCCCUGCACUUGCAACCGCCCUAAACCCACCCUCUGGUUGAGAAACAUUGAUAUUGUAGAUAUAGGCAGUGACUUCUUUAUACUGCUCUAUGAAUUUUUAGCUUGUACUGACUUUGCUAAUGCUUUUUAUGUAGCCUGUUGUAAAACUAGGCAAAUAUCUAGAUGAGUUGACAUACCUCCUGGAAGAUCUCUACUGCCACCCCCACUCCACUAACGGGAGUAUGUGUACCCCUGGUUGACAACCACUGGUAUAUAGUAUCAUGAAGUCUUACAGUGGAUAUAGCCAGCUCACAUUUAAAAAAUAAAAGAUAAACCAUAACUGGCUUAAAUUAUGCCAACACCUAAAUAACUAUACUAAAUUUGAUAAAUUCCACAUUACUGUACCAGAAAUUCAGAAUUAAGACUUUUCACUUUUACAAUACAAUACCUCAUGUGCUGGAAAGGAGGGAAGAGUUCGGGUCAGGGUCAAAGUGAGGGUCUUGCAUCAAAACUUUAGUUUCCUCUCUCCAAAAGAAAGGUGUUAACUAAGUCCUAAAGAAACCUAUCAGCUUUCUGUCUGGGGCACACUUGAUGAAAGCUUAUUAGAUUAUUUGUAUUUCAAAGGCAACUUGCAAAAGACAGACAAAUGGGUUUUGUGGCCUUUUUUAGCUUCUCUAUGGUACAUAAAGAAGGCCUGAGAGGCUUGGUUAAAAUAUUCUGCUUGUUUUUUUACAUGAGAAAUGCAGACCACAUCUGCCCUGGAGAACUCUAUGAUGGUGGUAGAACUACUAACAACAAUAUCAAGAGAGACUAAAAGAGCAGACUUCAGUUUGGCAAUUUAAAUUCUUGGUGACAGAGUAAAGCUGUACCUGCAAUUUCAGUUACAAGCUUUCAAAGAAACAAAAAUAAAUCAUCUUUUUCUGGCUCAGUUUCUUCAUUCCUAACAGAAGAUUGUGCUAAUGUGCCAACAACAUUUUAGGAUGAAGAAUGCGGACCUCAAUGCUGGUGCAAUACUUAAGCACAUUGAAGUCACCGAGUACUGACAGGCAAGCGAGUAGCUGACUGAACUACUGUGCAAGCUCAUUUCAGGAAAAAGCUGCAUGAGAAGGGGAUGUUUCAUGAAACCCAGGGAACAGAAGGCUCAUUGUUCCACUUUGAGGAUUUUUCUUCAUUUACGCUAUCCCCUUGAUCUGCCUAGCACACCUUGAUUGUCCAUUGACACUAAUAAAGGUAGUUAGUUAAUCCUGCUUUAGACUAGAUAAACUGUUGGUCUCCUAGCAGACUGGCAUGCAUGCAACUUGGGGGUACUUUGAGAGAGGCUGGAUAUUUUAAGAAAACACCAUCUUCAAUUUCUUGUACUGACCCUGGUUUACAAUUUCCUCUACUCAGCUGCAGUUUAUAAAGUCAUAUUUUACAGUCAGCAGCCUUCAAUAGCUGCUAAUGUCCUGAGAAUUGUCCCCUAGGGCAACAUCAGCUGUGAUUUUUCUGAACAUAAGAACUAAAAUGAUUAAAGUUUCUAAAUUUCAGGUUUAGUAAUAAUGCUCUUCUAUUUCAAUAGCUCCUUUCAUCCACUAGGAUCCCAAAGUACUUGACAAAUCUGGGUGUGAUCCUGCAGUCCUUACUCAGGAAAUCUGUUGAAAGGCACCAUACUUAGGAAUCACUUCUCUAUCACUGUGGGAAACACAGCAACACUACAUAACAUGGUAGGGCAGAGAAUGAAGGGACAACACAAUAUGCAGUUGAAAUUCACAGAGAAUUUUGAUGGGCAAAAUAAUCUAGGUUAAACAACCUUUUUUUUUUUUUUAAACAAAAAGUACCACAUCAGUUUUAAAUGAUCCCAGGUGGCCAGGACCUAAGUUUUAUGUCUCAUCUAUGAAACACUGUUAAAGGGUUUUUAAUAUUGCAAUAGGGUGUUUUGAAAUAUUUUGACAUUUAUAAUUACUGUUCACAACUGAAUCCACAUUAAUCAACAAUGCUAGAGAAAGAGGUUAUUAAAGAAAUAGGUCAAAUAAUUCUCAAACUUCUUGCAGGUUGUUUGAGUUAACACUUUUCAUUAUGAACUAGUUUGUAUGUUUCCAGCUGGUUUAUGAGUAUACACACACACACUUACAGAAAGGUCCUCUGGAAUUUAAUGGACUAUAUAUGGAAAGAAAAAUAUAUCCCCUCUACAGAUUUCUAUGAAAUAAUUAACAAACCUAAAUCAAGGUUAGCACUUUAUAUUAAGUUCUGUAGGUAGUUCUAAAGUCAUUUCUGUAGAACCUAUUACAUUUUUAUAGAAUCCUAUUUGUUAAACCCUACUAAAUUCUACAGGAUUUUUUUUUUUAUAAAAGUAUGGAGAGCAACAGAUAUGAUUUGAAGUUUAUGUGCUUAUCUCUUUCAUUCAUAAGGCUGUGGGAAGGGACAGUGCGCCCCUCCCAACUUGAUAAAUUGGAAUAAAUAUUAAAUGAAAAGCCACGUGUUAAAAAUACCCUUACACUGUUUCUGUGCCACAGCUAUAUGCUUAACUGACAUGACAACUGUCACCUAAAUUAGAAGGCAUCACCAAAGACAUACGUGUAACUAUUUUGCUACCUCCAAACUUGGCUGCUCCUCUCUCAUGAUCGGUCCUUGAAUCCUCUGUUCAGUGAGGUCUCUCCCAACAGACAGAAAGCAAUUUGUGUUUCUCAAGUUGUCUUUCUAUCAUUUGCUUCCACUGUAGCUUCAGUUCUCUGCUUUUCCUUUCAGGCUUAUUUCUUUACUCAAAUUCAGUUCCUGACUUCUUCCUAGUGAAUAUUGCCAGAUACCAAACACAUAUUUCCUGGAAUUCUCUCUAAUUCCUAAUUUCACUUCCAGAACUGUUUUUUCUUUUCUGUGUUCAACUUUAUAACCAUUAUUAGUUAUUAUGGGGAAAUGCAGAGAUUAUGUAUUGAUGGCUCUGUAGAUUCACAUUACCCAAAAAAUCCAAGAAAAUAAUUUCUGUAAGUCUCAUUGCAAAAACAGUUAGUAUUUCUGCCCUCUAAAAAUACUUAAACUACUUUCACAAUACAGGUUUCUGGAAAGAUGCUGAGUCUCAUUAAUUAAGCCACCAGGGUGUGCUCACUCUCCCUUCUAAGUAAUGUCAAACACUUCACUAGGAGAUGCAAGAAAUUCCAAACCCAAGGCCCACAGUGCAAUGGAAUAUAUAUACAAUGUAAUGUGUCUGUCCAUCCAAUCUAGAGGGGAAUGUUAUAUUUUCUUUACUGACCUCAUCACAAAGGGGAUGGGACAUUUGUGAAUUUCAUAUGCUUUGUUCAUAGUAACAGUUGCUUUAUCUUUGGAAAAACUGAUUUUGUUCACUUAAAAUAAUUUGCUUUUUUCUCUAUGGA